UGCCGAGCCCUAAUUUGUUCUUCACUGCCGUGCCCUAGGUUUUCCCCUUGCUGGUGAGUGAGGUUUGGUGUCAACGGGAUUAAGCUGUUGUUGGAGCUGAGGAAUCUGAUCAUUAUUCGUACACUUAGGACAUUGAUUCGAGACGGUGUCUCGACGAGGGAUCAAUUUCGGAUUGGAC